CAGCCGCCGCGGGAAUACGAAGGGGGCUAGCGUUGUUCGGAUUUACUGGGCGUAAAGGGCGCGUAGGCGGACUGAUAAGUCAGGGGUGAAAUCCCAAGGCUCAACCUUGGAACUGCCUUUGAUACUGUUUGUCUUGAGUUCGAGAGAGGUAAGUGGAACUGCGAGUGUAGAGGUGAAAUUCGUAGAUAUUCGCAAGAACACCAGUGGCGAAGGCGGCUUACUGGCUCGAAACUGACGCUGAGGCGCGAAAGCGUGGGGAGCAAACAGGAUUAGAUACCCGUGUAGUCCCUGUCUCUUAUAC
rnacentral:rRNA from 1 species